GACGAACGCUGGCGGCGUGCUUAACACAUGCAAGUCGAACGGAAAGGCCCUGCUUUUGUGGGGUGCUCGAGUGGCGAACGGGUGAGUAACACGUGAGUAACCUGCCCUUGACUUUGGGAUAACUUCAGGAAACUGGGGCUAAUACCGGAUAGGAGCUCCUGCUGCAUGGUGGGGGUUGGAAAGUUUCGGCGGUUGGGGAUGGACUCGCGGCUUAUCAGCUUGUUGGUGGGGUAGUGGCUUACCAAGGCUUUGACGGGUAGCCGGCCUGAGGGGGUGACCGGCCAAUUUGGGGAGGGAUAAGGGCCCGGGCCUCUGCGGGGGGGAGGAGGGGGGAAUUUUGCAAAAUGGGGCGGAAGCUGGAGGCACAACGGCGGGGGGGGGGUGGGGGCCUUUGGGUUGGAAACCCCUUUCCCCCGGGAAAAGGGGGGGGGGGCGGUGAGGGGAAAAAGAGACCCGGCAAAAGACGGCC
rnacentral:rRNA from 1 species